rnacentral:sRNA from 1 species
GCCUGGCAUGGUGGCACAUGCCUGUAAUCCCAGUGACUCAGAGGCUGAGGCAGGAUGAUUGCAAGUUCAAGGAAGGUCAGCUUCAACACUUUAGGGAGGUCCUACGCAACUUAACAAGACCCUGUCUCAA